UUGCCGAAGGAACGGCCCGCGUCCGAUUAGCUAGUUGGUGAGGUAACGGCUCACCAAGGCGACGAUCGGUAGCUGGUCUGAGAGGAUGACCAGCCUCACUGGGACUGAGACACGGCCCAG
rnacentral:rRNA from 1 species